rnacentral:rRNA from 1 species
GAUGAACGCUGGCGGGAGGCCUAACACAUGCAAGCCGAGCGGUAUUGUUUCUUCGGAAAUGAGAGAGCGGCGUACGGGUGCGUAACACGUGUGCAACCUGCCUUUAUCUGGGGGAUAGCCUUUCGAAAGGAAGAUUAAUACUCCAUAAUAUAUUGAACGGCAUCGUUUAAUAUUGAAAGCUCCGGCGGAUAGAGAUGGGCACGCGCAAGAUUAGCUAGUUGGUGAGGUAACGGCUCACCAAGGCGAUGAUCUUUAGGGGGCCUGAGAGGGUGAUCCCCCACACUGGUACUGAGACACGGACCAGACUCCUACGGGAGGCAGCAGUGAGGAAUAUUGGUCAAUGGGUGCAAGCCUGAACCAGCCAUCCCGCGUGAAGGACGACUGCCCUAUGGGUUGUAAACUUCUUUUGUAUAGGGAUAAACCUACCCUCGUGAGGGUAGCUGAAGGUACUAUACGAAUAAGCACCGGCUAACUCCGUGCCAGCAGCCGCGGUAA